UUUUCCUCCUUCUAUGCAGUUUCUAAAUAAAAAUAAAAUAUUCCUUCUUCUAUGGUCAGCUGUGGUCCGCUUACCGAGAGUGUAUUAAAGACUUACAUGUCGUAAUAGGUGUGAGAUCAAGGAAUUACAUUUGACUUAAUUUGGAGGUUGUCACAAAUUUGUUUAUAAAUAAUGUUGUAACCCCACCCCCUAGCAAGAAUGAGAUGAGGUUGAGAGAGUCCUGGUACUGAAUCCAUGUUUAUUUCCUAUAUGUUGGAAAUAAACACUUCAUUGUCCCAUUCCAGUUCAAUAAUAAAAAAGAACUUCAUUAUCCAUUUUUUUAUCCCCCAGUAUCCUAUAGGUUUGUUUCUUCACAUUUAUGAUAUGCUUCAUUGACAAUUUUAACUGUGCUACCACACAUAUAUCAUUGUGAGCCUCUAAGUUUUAGAUGGAAAGUGUUAUUGAAAUCAUCUUUUGGCCAGAUUGUGGGAAGUUUGCCAAUAGUCUUCAAUGCAAAAAUCCCAGUGUAUUUCACCAGCAGCCUGUCAUAUAUGCUUAGCUGUACCGGGAAGUUUUCAAGUACUAUUUAGCGGUGUAGCCUGUAACGGAUCUGGAAUAGAAGGAAACACGUGCUUCUGCAUUCCCCGACUGUCUAGAGGUGUUGAUGAAAAGGAAAAUGGAUACUUUAAUAUGACUGACUGCCCAACACUAGUAGUAUACAAUAUUAAGAUGAGGACUAUGAAAUUGAUCCUUGAAGUAUAAGAAGCAUGAUGUGCAUUGUGAGAAGCUUGUUUAAUAUUAGGGGGAGGGUUGAAUCGUUGUGUGACUAGCAAUAACGUUCAAGUUUGAGUUGUGGACCUGCAUUUUGGGAAUAUCUAUAUCAUAGUAAGAGGUCAUAAUGGGCAUGUUAUUCCUCUUGUAAAUGUGUUUGGAAAUGGUGGAUUGCAUGGCCAAGGACAUGUUAGACCUAUAAGGAAAUUCUUUUCUUUUCAUACUUCUUCUAAAUAUAUCUUGGAAAUGACGGAGGAUAUGUUCAAAGACAAGUUGAACCUAUAAGGAGUAACUUUCUUUUUUAAUUACGACCAACAAACUAGGACUGUCCUAACAUAUAUGUGAUUUUUUUUACUGUUGUCUUCCUAAAUUCUCUCCUUAAAUUAGGUUAGAACUCCACCUCCUUCCUCCUUCUGGUUGUCAUUUUGGGGACUUCUUUUCAUAAAAACAAUAUUGCUCCUAGUUUCUGUCUGCUAUCACACCAAAUCACUUAAAUGGCAGGGUUUUUUAUUUGUUAUAGAGAAGAUUGUAUAUACCUUGCUAUCAAAGUUUGGCAUCAUCACCUGAAAAAAAGGUGCCUUAAAGUGCCAGUAUUAAUACCCCUCUAAUUGUACCUUUGCGUCGUAUAUUUUCUGCUCCAUGCUUCCCAUCUCUACUGUUCCCCGUGUUUUAACCAUUCAUCCGCAAAUUAGGUAUCUUAGG
rnacentral:lncRNA from 1 species